UCUGCCCCAGGAAAGGCAGAAGUUCUAAGCUGUGCCCAACUGGGCAAAAGGAUUCUCCUUCUGUCAUCACUGACAUUUCCAAGUCUCUGCUGCAGUUUCCUGCCCUGCUGAGUGAAGCAGCAGGCUGAUGCUUGGGUGGUGGAGCUGAAAGCUUUGUCCCAUGCUCCGGAGAGUGUCUAUUUUAGAUCUCCUCGCCAUCUUUUCCAAGCUGCUAAGUUAUGAAGGUGGAGAAGACAUUUGUCUCCUUGUGAAGAGCUCCAGUGUGUCACUAUUGAGGCACUCAUCCUAAUAAAGCCUUCAGCACUAAGGUGAAAGAGAAAGAUGGAAGAGAAUACUUCUGUGAUAAAGACCCUGUCUGGAUUCAGAACAUCCUUCAUCCAUUCUGAAAUAACAGAAACACUCUGGAAAGCUGGAGAGACUCAACACCUAAGAGCUGAGGCAGCUAGCAGGAGUAACUACUGGAGGGCACAAAUAACUGAAAUCAUUAAAGGCUCAUGUUGCAUUGGAUUGGACUUCAACCGAGCAUGCAGGAAAAAGAAGUGGCAGCAGCAGCAGCUCAGCUGUGCCUUAGAGUACAGCUUCAAAGAAAGGUAGGGGUUGCACUGAGGCGGUUGUGAACCAGCAGAGAUUAUAAGUAGACCUUUGGAGUCCACACUGACAUUUAAAAGCUUGAGGCCUGAUGCAGAGCAAAGAAAUGUCAAUCUUUAAAAGAGUGGAUAGGGCUGGUUAGUAGGAAGGAAUGUCAAAAGAGAGUUUAUAGCCACCUCUUAAAGUUAAAGUAAACGCAUUUCAUUCCUUUGA